UACGUAGGUGGCAAGCGUUGUCCGGAUUUACUGGGCGUAAAGAGCGCGCAGGCGGUCGAGUAAGUCGAAUGUGAAAGCCCCCGGCUUAACUGGGGAGGGUCAUUCGAUACUGUUCGACUUGAAGGCAGGAGAGGGCAGCAGAAUUCCCGGUGUAGUGGUGAAAUGCGCAGAUAUCAGGAAGAACACCCGUGGCGAAGGCGGCUCUCUGGGACGGUACUGACGCUGAGACGCGAAAGCGUGGGGAGCGAACAGG
rnacentral:rRNA from 1 species